CCCUUAGAUGUUCGGAGCCGCACGCGCGCUACACUGAAGGAAUCAGCACGUCUUUCUCCUUGUCCGAAAGGACUGGGUAACCCGCUGAACCUCCUUCGUGCUAGGGAUUGGGGCUUGUAAUUCUUCCCCAUGAACGAGGAAUUCCCAGUAAGCGCGAGUCAUAAGCUCGCGUUGAUUACGUCCCUGCCCUUUGUACACACCGCCCGUCGCUACUACCGAUUGGAUGGUUUAGUGAGAUCCUCGGAUUGGUCCCGGCGCGGCCUCUGGUCGUGCCGGAGUGCCGAAAAGAAUGUCGAACUUGAUCAUCUAGAGGAAGUAAAAGUCGUAACA
rnacentral:rRNA from 1 species